rnacentral:rRNA from 1 species
GACGAACGCUGGCGGCGUGCCUAAUACAUGCAAGUAGAACGCUGAAGGAGGAGCUUGCUUCUCUGGAUGAGUUGCGAACGGGUGAGUAACGCGUAGGUAACCUGCCUGGUAGCGGGGGAUAACUAUUGGAAACGAUAGCUAAUACCGCAUAAGAGUGGAUGUUGCAUGACAUUUGCUUAAAAGGUGCACUUGCAUCACUACCAGAUGGACCUGCGUUGUAUUAGCUAGUUGGUGGGGUAAGGGCUCACCAAGGCGACGAUACAUAGCCGACCUGAGAGGGUGAUCGGCCACACUGGGACUGAGACACGGCCCAGACCCCUACGGGAGGCAGCAGUAGGGAAUCUUCGGCAAUGGACGGAAGUCUGACCGAGCAACGCCGCGUGAGUGAAGAAGGUUUUCGGAUCGUAAAGCUCUGUUGUAAGAGAAGAACGAGUGUGAGAGUGGAAAGUUCACACUGUGACGGUAUCUUACCAGAAAGGGACGGCUAACUACGUGCCAGCAGCCGCGGUAAUACGUAGGUCCCGAGCGUUGUCCGGAUUUAUUGGGCGUAAAGCGAGCGCAGGCGGUUAGAUAAGUCUGAAGUUAAAGGCUGUGGCUUAACCAUAGUAGGCUUUGGAAACUGUUUAACUUGAGUGCAAGAGGGGAGAGUGGAAUUCCAUGUGUAGCGGUGAAAUGCGUAGACAUAUGGAGGAACACCGGUGGCGAAAGCGGCUCUCUGGCUUGUAACUGACGCUGAGGCUCGAAAGCGUGGGGAGCAAACAGGAUUAGAUACCCUGGUAGUCCACGCUGUAAACGAUGAGUGCUAGGUGUUAGACCCUUUCCGGGGUUUAGUGCCGUAGCUAACGCAUUAAGCACUCCGCCUGGGGAGUACGACCGCAAGGUUGAAACUCAAAGGAAUUGACGGGGGCCCGCACAAGCGGUGGAGCAUGUGGUUUAAUUCGAAGCAACGCGAAGAACCUUACCAGGUCUUGACAUCCCUCUGACCGCUCUAGAGAUAGAGCUUUCCUUCGGGACAGAGGUGACAGGUGGUGCAUGGUUGUCGUCAGCUCGUGUCGUGAGAUGUUGGGUUAAGUCCCGCAACGAGCGCAACCCCUAUUGUUAGUUGCCAUCAUUUAGUUGGGCACUCUAGCGAGACUGCCGGUAAUAAACCGGAGGAAGGUGGGGAUGACGUCAAAUCAUCAUGCCCCUUAUGACCUGGGCUACACACGUGCUACAAUGGCUGGUACAACGAGUCGCAAGCCGGUGACGGCAAGCUAAUCUCUUAAAGCCAGUCUCAGUUCGGAUUGUAGGCUGCAACUCGCCUACAUGAAGUCGGAAUCGCUAGUAAUCGCGGAUCAGCACGCCGCGGUGAAUACGUUCCCGGGCCU